rnacentral:rRNA from 1 species
GACGAACGCUGGCGGCGUGCCUAAUACAUGCAAGUUGAGCGCUGAAGGUUGGUACUUGUACCGACUGGAUGAGCAGCGAACGGGUGAGUAACGCGUGGGGAAUCUGCCUUUGAGCGGGGGACAACAUUUGGAAACGAAUGCUAAUACCGCAUAAAAACUUUAAACACAAGUUUUAAGUUUGAAAGAUGCAAUUGCAUCACUCAAAGAUGAUCCCGCGUUGUAUUAGCUAGUUGGUGAGGUAAAGGCUCACCAAGGCGAUGAUACAUAGCCGACCUGAGAGGGUGAUCGGCCAAAUUGGGACUGAGACACGGCCCAAACUCCUACGGGAGGCAGCAGUAGGGAAUCUUCGGCAAUAGACGAAAGUCUGACCGAGCAACGCCGCGUGAGUGAAGAAGGUUUUCGGAUCGUAAAACUCUGUUGGUAGAGAAGAACGUUGGUGAGAGUGGAAAGCUCAUCAAGUGACGGUAACUACCCAGAAAGGGACGGCUAACUACGUG